rnacentral:misc_RNA from 1 species
CGACAUCUCAAUUCCUUAGCAUACCGUCUCCAAAUGAAUGGAGCGGUAGAAGCCACUAACAAAAAUCUCAAGAGAAUCCUCCAGAAAAUGAUAAUCACCUAUAGAGAUUGGCAUGAAAUGCUUCCCUACGCCCUACAUGCAUACCGGACCUCCAUAAGGACAUCAACUGGGGCAACUCUAUAUUCACUGGUUUAUGGAAUGGAAGCUGUUUUGCUUAUCGAGGUAGAAAUUCCUUCCCUAAGAAUUCUGAAAGAAUCAAGAAUUGAUGAGUCAAAAUGGAUCCAGCUGAGAUUGGACCAAUUGAAUUUGCUGGAUGAGAAAAGGCUAGCAGCAGCAUGUCAUGGG